GGAUCAAUGGAUUGGUCAUGCCGAUGGUAUGUACUGGUCAUAUUGGUUCUCACCUUCUAAGGAACCAUAAUGUCAUUAAUUUGAUGUUUUGGGGAAUUAGGACUGUUACCUUGAAAAAAUUAGAGUGUUUAAAGCAGGCUAACGCUUGAAUACAUUAGCAUGGAAUAAUGAAAUAGGACAUCGCAUUCUAUUUUGUUGGUUUCUAGGAUCGAUGUAAU
rnacentral:rRNA from 1 species